CAAAAUACGGAUGCUCACGGCCAUUUGUGGCCUCAAUUGCCACUAAUUCUGCAGCCCCUAACCCCCCACUCUUAUCUGUCUUCUUGUCUCGUCUCUUUCCCAGCCUCCACCCGAACUCUGAAACUCACUACUCAAACCUCAGAAUUCUUGAAUCAGAUGCCGUUCGCUUAAUUCAAUUUUUUUUUUCUUUUUUCUUUUUCUUGGGUUUCUACCGAACAAUUUCACGCCACAAAAGGUUAACGAAAUUUCCCGCCAUUUUCAAGAAUUUUGAAUUUUCAUCAUUUGACAGGAAGAAGGUGGAGAAUUCCGUUAAUAUGGAGAGGUUUGCUCAAACGCAGUCGAAGGACCGGGAAAUUGAUUUUCAAGAUGUAUUCGGCGGUCCGCCGAGGCGGGCUUCGAUGCAGGAGAGGCGUUACAGUUUCAUGGAGACCAUGAAUUCUGGCGAAGACGUCACGCUUUUACCUCGGAAUCCGUUGUCCGGCCUGAACGAGAGCCCGGUGUUUGGCGACGAAUCCGCGAAUCGCCGGCGGUACCCAAGCGAUGACUUCUUCGGCGAUAUUUUCAGGGGAGAUGAGUCUCUGAGUUCGCCAAGGUGGUCUACGCAAGACCCCUUUGGUUCGGCCCCAUGUUCAAGGGUCUUAAGCCCUGCCCGCCCUUUGACGCCAAGAACUGAUCCUUUUGGAACCUCUCUUCCUUCUCAACUUCAGUUCAGCCUUCCUGCAAAAUUGACCAAGGCAAAGGACUUUCCUGCAUUUGCUUCAGGCAAUCACAGUCCAUAUAAAUACAAGGAUCCCACUUCAAUUGGGAUGAGCUGUUCAUAUACUCCAAGCUCUCCUCUCUCUAGACUUUCAAGUGAAGCUUUGCAUGAAGAAGGCGAGUCAGGAAAUGACAUUCGGCCAUCUUAUCAACCAAGUCCUCUGUCCCAUGAAUCUUCUCUCCCUAAGGGCCCAUCGCACACGACCAAAGCUGGUGAAUUGGAGUCAUCAGAUAUUGGAGGCAACUUGAAGAAGGAUUUGAAAAGCAUAGAAUCUCCAAUCAACAUCAGCCAGUUUCACUUCUCCAUAUACAAAUGGGCUAGCAAAGGGGUACCACUAUUAAUUCCUGUUAGAAGUGGCAACAUUAUAAAACAAAAAGAGAGGAUUAAAACUGAGAGAUGCUUGAGCUCAAAUGGAAGGAUUGAAAGUAACAAAGGGUUACAGGUGGCAGAUUUCCAUGAUUCUGGUCUUGAUCUUCUGAACCAGAGUGAUUCAGAAAACCGCCAGUCUCCUUGCAGUGAAGGCAGGAAGCAGCAGGGUUCACUUUUUAAAACAACUGAUGAGAACAUGGAUGAACCUUGUGAUACUGUUGAAGAAGCAGUUCUUUCCAUCCCAGGAUCAAAAUCCAUGCACAUAGUUCCAGAUACCAUUGAAACUGUACCUAGUGAUGUAGCCUUGAGUGACAAAAGAGUGGAAAUAAAAACACAUCCUUUAUCUGAUGCAAAUUUAUGUGGGAGUACUGAGAAAGAAGCCCAGAAACAUGAGAUGAAGCCUCUGCGGUCUUUUCUCUAUGAUACUAAUAAGGCUCAAGGCAUUAAUGAAACAAUUAGGAACCCUGAAAUGAAAGAUAGCAUGGUGAAAAAGAUGAGAAAAUCUGAUUCAAAUGCCAAUGUGAGUAAACAUGUAAAGGAAUGUGAUGAUAAAGGAAUUAAUAAAGAUAGAGCAGAAGCAGUUCAAGUGAAGGGACCUCAGCCUCAAGAUUCAAGAAGAAAAUCUGGAGAAAAUCUUGGGAGGAAUGGAGUUAGAGGAAAGGUUAAAGAAUUUGUUAAGAUUUUCAAUCAACAAAAUAUUUCAAAGCCUAAUGUUGAUGCUGAAACUCGGAGUCAGAGUUGUCGAUGGAAAAGCACAGUCAAGUUUGGAGCAGAAAGUGUUAACAGAAGCCAAACAAAUGGAAAAAGUCAUAAUCAAAGUGUGAACAAGAUGAAAGGACCACCAAAUGCUUCUGUCAAGGUAGUGGAAAAUAUUGGGGAAUCACUGAAACAGCAGCCCUUCUCAAAGACCACAGUCUUUGAAGUUAGUAAAACUUCUACUGGUCAUGUCUCACCAUCAAGUUCCGUGUCAUUUCCUGGUGAUACUAAGGUUGCAGUUGAAAGCAUAGAUGACUUCUUCCAAGAGAACUUUGCGAUACACGAAUUAUCUAAUGACCAAGACAAAUUGCAGGCAGAGGACAGUCGUGAGGAUAUCCAAAUGUUAGAUGCUAAAAUUCGGCAAUGGUCAAACGGAAGGGCAGGCAAUAUUCGCUCACUUUUGUCAACAUUACAAUAUUCAUGGGCAGGUUCUCUGGCCUGGAAGUGGUUGGAAGACUGUGGCACUUGUUGAUAUUAUCGAAGGAAGUUCAGUGAAGAGAUCAUACCAAAAAGCUUUACUGUGUUUACACCCAGAUAAGCUACAGCAAAAGGGGGCUGCUUCUCACCAAAAAUAUAUUGCAGAAAAAGUAUUUGAAAUUUUGCAGGAGGCUUGGGAUCAUUUUAAUUCACUUGGUUCCAUAUGACUUCAGCGGCCUGGUUGCAAAGUGCCGCCUUUGGAGGAACAUGUGGUCUUGCGUUGCUGUUGCUGUUAUUGGCAAGUAAACACGUAAAUACCAUUUAGAUGCUGCACAUAUACAUAAUUACAUCAACAGGCCUUUUACACACAUCAUUUGUGCAUAUAUAUAAAGACAAAGUGAGUGAUGAAAACACUUCCAUAUCAAACUUAGAUUGCUCUUUGGCCUCGAUAAACUGUUGUUGUUCCUAGCAAAACAAUAUGAAGAAAGAAAUAUUGUUGUAGUUACUCUGAA